UUACAUGGAUCGUUCAUUUCAUUAUCGAAGGAUUUUUCCCAGUGUUAUUGAUGAGGAUAGACCGAAAUGAGCUGGGAGAUGGAGGGAACAUAGUGUGAGGCCGGGGAUCGCAUAUGUGCUGAGGGCGACGGCCUUAACCACUCGACCAACCUCGGGCGUUACAUAGAUUUUUCUAACAAGUUACUGUAACGAAUUGGGGCGGCAGGUAGCCUAGUGGUUAGAGCGUUGGACUAAUAACCGAAAAGUUGCAAGAUCGAAUCCCUGAGCUGACAAGCUACAGUGAGGCAAUUGACCAAGAAGAGGUUGAGACAAUCUGUCCCUUUUCACUCUGAGCAGCUGACCAAAGACUGUGUUAAUGGAUCUCUAACCCUGCCUCGCUCCACCUCCUUCCCCCUGUCACUCCUCUGUCCCUGUGUCUGCCCCUACCAGCAUUAUGAUGUCAGAGAGCUUUGAGUCCAGCUGGCUGGAUGUCCCUUCUCCGGAGAGGGCUGUGGGCAGGUCCUCCCCUCAGAGGAAGAUGGAUCGGGGGCUGAGGCCCAGGGUGUAAAGGAGGAGCACAUCUGAUGAGACGGAGGCACUGUACAUCAAUCUAAAGCAGGACAGACUAUCUCCAACUGCUGGGCUUUUGCACCGUCAAAAUCACAUUUUAAUUCCUGGGCUACAGUAUCAUGUCAUCAUUUUUCAACUCUGUAGGUGUCAUCUGUGGUAUCUGUUUCAUAGGCAAAAUAAGCCGACCUGUUGGCUAUAGAACACGUGCUGGCCAUGCUCAAUGCACGGAGGGGUCGUCUGUGGAGGGUUGGUAACUGUUGCUACUGCAGGGGCUGAUUCACCACAUGAAAGAUCCACCAGGUGGCAGCAGAGAGCUGUCUUUCCCUCUCAGAGCACAAUGGAGGGAUCAGGGUCCGUAUAUCCUAGAUCAGCACCCCUACUCUUGAGACGCUUUGUGAACACAGCCCAGAUGCUUUUCUUCAGGCAGAUGCAAAGAUUCAGUAGCUUUAAAAUACCUACAUAUAGUUGAAGGUGAAAAAAAAUAAAGUUGUAAUUCAUUUUAUUGAGGAUAUUCCUGAAAAUUUGCUUUGGGUAUUCCUAGGCUUUCUUGUAAAAAUGGUUCUACAUGUUUGAUCCAAUGUUAUGAUUUUAAGAAUGUAUUUUGUUAUGGGAAUAUGAUGCUCCGUGCUAAUAACAAGGCAUAUUUAUUCAGUCUGAUAUUCGACUAACUCACAAAGGAGUUUGCUCGAUAACAGGGUCCAUAAAGUACACCAUGAAUUGUUAUACUAUUUUUUUCCACUGUUGUUACACUGAAAUAAGGGCUGUUUAUUCAAGGUACACACACACCUAUUUAAGUACACACCUAGUUCAACAUCACUGUGUAGUAAAGGAAGCAGUGGCCUAAGCUAAUGUUAUCUAGACAAUAUACUACUUUUAUUUAACUAGGCAGGUCAGUUAAGAACAAAUUCUUAUUUACAAUGACGGCCUAGGAACAGUGGGUUAACUGCCUUGUUCAGGGGCAGAACGACAGAUUUUUACCUUGUCAGCUAGGUGAUUCAAUCUAGCAACCUUUUGGUUACUGGCCCAACGCUCUAACCACUAGGCUACCUGCCGCCCCAUAAAGAAAUGACUGAGAAUUAGCAUAAAUAUUUAAUACUGUAUAUAUUUGAUCAUUUUAACAUUGUAAAUGUUUUGUACAUUGUGUAUGGGUUUUGUGGAAGUAACUUGUACUGUUUACAUUUUGUAUCAACCUAACAAGAAUAUGCAGUACAAAACAAAAGCCAGAGCUUUUGAAAUGAUGUAUUGACUUAUCUGUAGGCCACAUGGCUCCAAAUAGGAUACUGUUGGCACCCAUUAGACCUGCUGGUAUUUCUAUACAGAAGCAUUCACACACUGAAAUUAGUAUUAAAGUAUGCCAUCUGGGGGUGACCAUGAAAUGGACUAUGUAUUGUAAAGAAACUGCAUAUAAAUGCUGAAACCUCAAAGUUCUGUGAAUGAAGUUGAGACAGAAAGUAGCCUCGAAGACGCAGAUGAUAUCUUAGCCAUCUGUUGCUGGCCCUUUGUGUCAAAGCACAAAGAAGGAGAUUUUGCUGGCUGCCCUCCCUGUCAACCUCACCGCUCUAACACCAACUCAUUUGAAUGAGAAUGAACGGGGGUGUUAUUUCUUCUUUCUCCGUUGGAGGUGUUAUGGCUGAUGGAGGGCCUGUCAAUCCAAACCAGUCAAGCCUCGCUGUAGUCCUCAGGGUAGGUAGAGGGAACUCGCCUUGCAACUUUAAUAAGGUGAACCGAAUUUAAAUGUGUUUACCAGGACGUUAUCCUAUAUAACUCCCCCUCGAGGCUAACACACUAGAUAUGUAACUGGGGUCAGAUGGAAGGCAAGGCAACAGAGAGGGAAGCCUGCUGCAGUAGACGUUUUUGGAUGGCUACCUAAUAUAACACUGCCGUGUGUUUAUUAUGUUUGAUGACUGGGCUCUUUUCAAACUGACUACUGUAAAUUGGAGUGGUUGUGUGGGUCUUGGGUAACUGGUACGUUUGUAUGAGCUUGAGCUGUGAAAUCAAUCGUGACAUUCUGACGACAUGACACAAUAUAUCUAAAUGUGCAACAGAGAAUGAGACUUAAUAAACAUCAAGAGUCAAAAUGGCAAACCGUUUCAGAGUGCAGGUUUUCAACAAGUUAGAAACACAAACCACGUCUCCGUCCACAGUUUUUACUCGGGAAAAUCAUAUCGUCUAAAAAAAAAAAUCACGACAGCUGUGAGGGGAACGAAUAGUUUCUGUACAAAUGUAUAAACGCCAACAGAUAAUUUGUUUGUUUUUGUGUCGGUAAAAUUAAUUAUGCAAGACAUGGCGGUGGAAACUCCUUUAUGCGCAAAUAUUCAUGUAAUAACCAUGAUAUCGAAAUAAACUUGGAUUCACACGAUGAUAUGGUGUGUGGUCCUCCCACUAUGACUCGGGGAAACCAUGGAGUUUAUUAGGCUACAGAUGAAAUGAGGAUGAACUUCACAGGGUGGUGAAAGUGCACGGUGAUCCUUUCCAAUAAAUAUCGAGAGUCUUGUUCUGGUGACAUGAUGAUUGAUGCUUGACUGCCAUUUGACAAAUAAACAUAUUCUCGCUAUUAUCAAUAAUAAUCUCAGCUAGACACAGCCUACUGCACUGGAGUCCUAUCUGUGAGCUGUUGGCUAGAGCGCAUGUGCCAAGAUCAGAGCAGGCACAUUUUCUAUUGUUGGGGCCAGAGGAGUUAACACAGCCUAUUCAUAUACAACUAUGGCACAGUUGCUUACAACUGUAAAAUGUAGUGGAGACUGGUGGGAUGAGCCAUAGGAGGACGGGCUCAUUGUAAUGUCUGGAAUGGAAUAAAUGGAACGGUAUGAAACAUA